rnacentral:rRNA from 1 species
GACGAACCGUGCGAACGUUGUUCGGAAUCACUGGGCUUAAAGGGCGCGUAGGCGGACCGCCAAGUCGGGGGUGAAAUCUUUCGGCCCAACCGGAAAAGCGCUUCCGAUACUGGCGGCCUCGAGGGAGGUAGGGGUCGGCGGAACUGGUGGUGGAGCGGUGAAAUGCGUAGAUAUCACUAGGAACGCCGGUGGCGAAAGCGGCCGACUGGACCUCUUCUGACGCUGAGGCGCGAAAGCCAGGGGAGAGAACGGG